UACAGAGGGGGCAAGCGUUGUUCGGAAUUACUGGGCGUAAAGGGCGCGUAGGCGGCCCGCUAAGUCGAACGUGAAAUCCCCGGGCUCAACCUGGGAACUGCAUUUGUGACUGCAUGGCUGGAGUGCGGCAGAGGGGGAUGGAAUUCCGCGUGUAGCAGUGAAAUGCGUAGAUAUGCGGAGGAACACCGAUGGCGAAGGCAAUCCCCUGGGCCUGCACUGACGCUCAUGCACGAAAGCGUGGGGAGCAAACAGG
rnacentral:rRNA from 1 species